CCUACGGGAGGCUGCAGUGGGGGAUAUUGCACAAUGGGGGAAACCCUGAUGCAGCGAUGCCGCGUGAAUGAAGACGGCCUUCGGGUUGUAAAGUUCUUUCGCAGGGGACGAAAAUGACGGUACCCUUCACCAAAGCUCCGUCCAACUACGUGCCAGCAGCCGCGGUAAUACGUAGGGAGCAAGCGUUGUCCGGAAUUACUGGGUGUAAAGGGAGCGUAGUCGGGAGGAUAAGUUGAAGGUGAAAUCUAUGGGCUAAACCCAUAACUGCGUUUAAAACUGUUCUUCUUGAGUGAAGUAGAGGCAGGCGGAAUUCCUGGUGUAGCGGUGAAAUGCGUAGAUAUUAGGAGGAACACCGGUGGCGAAGGCGGCCUGCUGGGCUUAUACUGACGCUGAGGCUCGAAAGCGUGGGUAGCAAACAGGAUUAGAUACCCUAGUAGUC
rnacentral:rRNA from 1 species